UCUUUCCAUUGAGCCAUGCUACUUCUCUGACAAAUGAGAUGGAUAUCAGGAUGGAUUUAAUCAGUCACAUGGAUGGGAAAAGGUCACAGCAGAAAACAUUUAUGUCAAGGAGAGUUUGGCUCCGUCUCCGGGGCUGUGUGACUUCCCCACUACUGGCAGAGGGACUCAGCCCCCCCUUCCCAGGAUGUGUUGAACAAUUUUGAUGGAGGGAGCCGGUCAUCUGUCGGGCCUGUGACCUCGUUGCCUUACACCAUCCUUCGGUUUAGAAGAUGACACAACUGCCCUUGGAAACCUAGAAGUAUGGACUGUGAACCCACGGGGAGCAUCCUGCCACCAGCCGCCCUUGCCCUGAAGUUGUCCGGCAGCUGUGGUGAUGUUUUGCUCUGAGCCAUCCCCACUCUUCCAAACUCGCUGGCCCAAGCCACCUGUCAUGAAAGCCCUGUCACCAUCUCAGCCAGGAACUACUUCUGGGGCCUGGCUUCGGGGCCUCCCCAUCGACCCAUCCCCACAGCCACAGGCAACUCUUCUUCCAGCAUUCCUUCUCUGGGACAGAGAGCCUAAGUCACUAAUUCUUCCAUGCUCCAUAAUGAUCCUGAAACUAUUUCCAGUGUGAAUACUGGAUUUUGUUUUCAAAGGCGAAAAGGGGGCCAGAAAACAAAUACAGGACAGAAUGGGUUUUCCUGCGUUCCUCAAGCGGCCAGAGGAGAAAAGAUGCAUUUUUCAAGGAAAGAAAGUCAGCUGCCCUGCCACAUAUCCUGCUUGCCAGGUUUCUCAAAAGAGUUCCUUGAUGAGAUAAAAUAUCCUGGAACAGGUGGAGGCGGGCGCAGGCAAACAGUGCAACCCCUUCCUGACUGUUAUCAGCUAGGGACAACCUUGUCUGGCCCCUGGAAGCACCUGUGCUGGAGAGCACAGGCUGAAUCGCAGCAGGCAGCAUGCACUUUGGGGAGGGCACAAACGGUCACAGCAACCAAUGUGCACUCAGAGGAGAGCACAACAGAGUCACAGAAGCCAGCGUGCACUCGGGCGAGAGCAGAAACAGAGUCACAGCAGUCAGCGUGCACUCGGGGAGAGCACAGAGUCACAGUCCCAAGGGACAACACACAGAGUCACAGUAGUGAGUGUUUACUCACAAGAGAGCACACACAGAGAGCAUUUCCUCAUGGAAAACCACACACACCCCAUCACAGCAGUUUCACUACAAAAGAAUGUGUCAGUGAUAUAUCCCUUUUUUCCCUGGAAAUGUUUUGCAAAUGCCGGCCUUAUCCUUCCAUUUCAUACCCACUGAUCUUCAACAUUUGGUUCAGGCCAAUCAGGCAGAGACCCAUAUGGCAGUUCUGUGCCCCAGCAGGCCGCUGGCUACUUCAGGGCUCCAGGUGAGACCCCAGUGAUGGGUCUGGUGGCCGUGAGUGAGCAUCUCAUUCGACGAUGGGACACAGCCCGGGGGACAACCCAGCAGGUCUUGCUGCCUAGGGGGCAAGCAGGGGGUGGGAAUGGGGAUACGCUGCUCUAUGGGCACUGAGCGUACCCGCACCUCAACCAGCCUCUCACAAGGGGUACCGGGUGCCUUUGGCUGCAAGCGCCCGCGGCAAGGGACUGAGAGUGACCCGGUGCAAACCGUCGCCACUGACUAUCUCAAACAUGAAGACUUCGGAUGAAGAGUCACCUCCCUUCUGCCAGCCUGUUCCCCAUGAGCGGGCAGACCACCAUAGCACUGGCCUGGUUGCCCACGGGACAGUCAUCUGGAUAGCCAAGGAGCCCCGUAGAAGGGAACACCGCUCUCCCUGAAUGGGCAACGGGACUGGGAAAGAGGACCCUCACAAUGGCUGCCUCACCCAAAUCCAGUCAUCAGUGAAUGGAUGCGACUGGCCAGCUGGACAUCCGUCAGGCCAAAACAACACAUGGAAGGAUCUGCCCCAUGUGGCCUUUUCAGCCACAAACAUUCUUUGAAUACAAAGGAAAACUAGAGAUUGAGUGUAAGGCCUGCGUGGGAUAGAGAUCGGGUCUAAGCUGUUUAUCUUGUCUCCACCCAGCACUCAGCACAGUGCUGGCAUACAGACCAUCUCCAUCCAGAAACCUCUCGGUGCCACAGAAACACAAACUCUGCCAUGGAAGUGGAAAACAGGGGUUCGGCUCCUGAGAGCCCCCAACGGUGCAGCGGUAGAAUUUGAGCAAACCUCCCAACGCGACCAGGAGGUGAUCAUCGGACUGAUCCCAGCUGGCCAAGAACAGAGAAAAGUCUACUGUGUCAGAUGAGGAAUUCCCAUGACCUCUUCCAUUCCUGUCCAGAAUCGAGGAGGCACGCUGAUGUGCCGGGAAAAAUUUGCGUCCUCUGUCACAGCAGUGACCCCGGGAUCGACCAGUAGAGUCAAGCCCCCAAAAGGCUGGGUCUUCUGGGACAUGCGCAGCUGAGGAAAGCUGCAUGACGCCGGGGACGAUGAUAAUCAAAAUGGCCACCAGCUUGCAGAAGGUGAGGAAGAUCUGGAUGCGAGCACUCCAGCUGACGCUCAUGCUAUUGAGCACCAUGAUUGUGGCUGCCAGACAGGGAGGAAGAAACAGAAUGUCACUGAUGGUGCACCAAGCCCCCCCACAGCACAUGGAGGGAUCCCCUUGGGCGAGAUGAAGAUGCCCGCACCGAUGAUGGUGCCAAUGAUGAUGGAGAUCCCUCUGAGGAGGGUGAUCUUCUUCUUCAGCACAACCUUCUCCGGCCCGGUGCUGCCCAGGGCGGGCAGCCGGCCCCUCGCAUCGCCCUGCAGGUAGCCUCCGGGAGACAAAGUGGACACGGCCGGCUUUCGGACCAUGGCUCCGGGCCGGCUUGGACAGUGGCACCGCCUGACCUGUAGCUCCAUUGUCCACUCAAGGUGGAAAGCGUGGAACACUUUUCUCAUGCCUGAGGGCACAGGAGCCACACUAUCUGGACACCCUUUCCCCUGACAGAUCAGCCACCCUGUUUGGACACCCUUGCCCCGGACGGAGCAGCUGCCCUGUUUGGACACUGAUUUUUCUUUUAAGAGUUGUGGUGCUCUGCUCCAUUGUGGUCAACCAUGUUUGCAAGCGAUGCCCCAGCAGAGCUGCUUCGAGCACAUCACGGGCCAAGGGACAGGAAGGAAAAAUCUCUUGUCGUGACAUGUGAGCAACUGACAUCACAGGGAUUGCUGCCCUCUCACCCCAAACAUCAAGGAUUCGAACUCCUCAGGACACCAGGUGCUCGGGUCCUGUUGAAGCAGAGCUCUGGAGGAUGAAAUCUUAGCUUCUCGGCUCAAUUACACAAAGUUGAAGUUCAAAAGCUGGGAACUCUGCUAAGCAUUAAUAAGCGGUUGGAUCCAGACUAUCCCAUUCCCAACAGAUCAUCGGGUUCGACUCUGGGGGCUGAGAGGCAGACCGUGCAUGCCGCGAUUCCCAAAGCAGACAGUCCCUGGACAGACAAGCGCGCAGAUGAGGGAACUGAGGCCCAGAGAUGUGAAGUGACUUGCCC